rnacentral:rRNA from 1 species
GUGCUAGCAGCCGCGGUAAUACGAAGGGGGCUAGCGUUGUUCGGAAUCACUGGGCGUAAAGCGCACGUAGGCGGAUCUUUAAGUCAGGGGUGAAAUCCCGAGGCUCAACCUCGGAACUGCCUUUGAUACUGGAGGUCUCGAGUUCGGGAGAGGUGAGUGGAACCGCGAGUGUAGAGGUGAAUGUCGUAGAUAUCCGCAAGAACACCAGUGGCGAAGGCGGCUCACUGGCCCGAUACUGACGCUGAGGUGCGAAAGCGGGGGGAGCAAACAGGAUUAGAUCCCCUGGUAGUCCACGCCGUAAACGAUGGAUGCUAGCCGUUGGGGAGCUUGCUCUUCAGUGGCGCAGCUAACGCUUUAAGCAUCCCGCCUGGGGAGUACGGUCGCAAGAUUAAAACUCAAAGGAAUUGACGG